UACGGAGGGAGCAAGCGUUACUCGGAAUUAUUGGGCGUAAAGGGCGCGUAGGCGGCCACCGCAAGUCGGUUGUGAAAUCUCUGGGCUUAACCCAGAAAGGUCAACCGAUACUGCGGGGCUAGAGUGCAGAAGGGGCAACUGGAAUUCUCGGUGUAGCGGUGAAAUGCGUAGAUAUCGAGAGGAACACCUGCGGCGAAGGCGGGUUGCUGGGCUGACACUGACGCUGAUGCGCGAAAGCUAGGGGAGCGAACGGG
rnacentral:rRNA from 1 species